rnacentral:lncRNA from 1 species
GACAAUAAUAUCAAAUGAUGAGUCUCGGAAAACCCCUUUAUCUACUACAUCCAUAAAUAUGUUGCAGGCAGCUUUGUGCAUUACACCAUCCAUUUUCCCUUGCAAGAGAAUCUCCCCGCCAAGGCUAGCUAGCUCACCCACUUCUCCAACCCAACUGCAGCACCGUCUGAGGCUUCCAUCUUUUCGUAAGCCCAAAAGUUAAAUUUUUGUUACCCGAAGGACAAGUUCUAUAUUAAUUAUAUGGUUGCAUUUCUUUCUUAUAAGCUCCUUCCUAUAUAAGUUUAUACUUGUAUAGUGUGCAAAUAUGUUUUUUGAACUAUACUUGUACUAUUGCAUUAUACAGAGUGUUUCUGUUUCCAGCAGAAACAAUAGGCGGACACGCCUGCCAGGCAGAUCAAGUGAAACUCCAAAACAAACAUACUAAAGAUUGCUUCAGAAUUGAUUCAAAGAGAAUACCUCCAGUAUACUGAUCCAAAGACGGAAGCACCUUAUAUACAGUAGUGUAUCAAAUUUUUAGAUCUUAAACUUCUAGUUAUUUCAAUUCGCACGCAAUGUGUAUUUAAAAUGUAUGUGUACGUUGUUAAAUGUGCUGCAGUGUGUUGCUGGGAGAGGCUUGUGAUGUCCUUGGAGGAGAGUUCUGUGAGACGGGGUAUCAGACCGGAGUCUAUUAGAAGUAUAUAUAUAUGGAAAUGAUACAUAACAUGUAUUUGUUAUAGAUCCUUAUAAGGCAUACACCAUUUAUACCAUUAAAAACAAGAAGAAACGGCCAUGAUUAGAAACCGAAAAUCGAAAAAAAAACACAUACCAUCCCCUACUAAAAAUAGGGAAUUAUAAUUAGAAUAAGGGUUAUUAACUAAGGUUUAGGUUUAUAAACUAGGGUUUAGAGUUUAUUAACUCAUUUUUUAGUUGGGUUUAGGGUUUAAAUUAAACUUAUAAAUCUUUGGCUAAUAAACCAUUUAAUAAAUCUCUACUUAAUAAACUCUAAACCCUAAUUAAUGAAAUAAAGUCAAACCCGCGUUCGCUACUAUUAGUAGCGGAUGGUAUGUGUUUUUUUUAGACGUCGAUUUUCAGUUUCUAAUGAUGGCCGUUUCUUCAUGUUUUCAAUGGUAUAGAUGGUGUAUGACCUAUAAUGAUCCAUAGAAAAUACAUAAUUUAAAUCAUUACCCAAAUAUACAUAAACUAGAGCUUAACAUUUAAUAUGUAUGCAUGUAUAUAUAAACUAGAGCUUUUAGGUGUUUACUGUGUAUAGUUAGUACUUCGCUAUGUAAUGUAAGUACAUGGGUUCCUUUCAAGUGUAAUCUGCUUCAGAAAUAUAUACUACGUUGAUAUAAACUUGUACGAGUGCCAUUGCCUUGUGAGUACAGAAACAAGGCUGGAUCAAGGUUUGCCAUUGCCUUAUGAUUACAUAAACAAAACAAGUAUUUGUGUAAGUUCAGUCUGUGCAAUAAAUAAACAAAAAGCAUCCCAAGGUGUCAUACAUUCAAAUUAAGAUCAUGGUUUUUCCAUUAAAAAGGCCAACCUCACCAAAAAAGAAUCAUGAUUUAUAAAAGGCCAAAUGUGUAGACUGACCUAAUAAGCAUGAUGGACC